UGUUUCUUUUGUUAGGUGAGGCUCCUAUACAGAUAUGGCUGCUGCCCGGAAACAUCGAAAGAUGCCAAUGGGUCAACAGGUACUAUCGAAUUAAGGUUUUACUUAAUGCAGUUGGGCAAUGCCCUAUGCUGUAUAGUGCCAAAACUCAACGAAUGGAGGAAUCA
rfam:Acetobacterium wieringae strain DSM 1911 ACWI_contig000033, whole genome shotgun sequence.